UUCUCCGCCUCUUCAUUUUUAUCUUCUCUUCACCCAGAUCUCUUAGAAAUGAACAUAAUCUGUCAGAAAUCAAUACAAUCUUCUUAGAACCAAACCGAAUUUGUGAAAUCUGAUGGACUCAGUUUGAUUUGUGAAUGAAUUUUGUGAGAUCUGCUGGACUCAAUUUUAUUUGUGAAAUGGGUUUCGAUAAGAUUGAGUUUAAGCUAUUUUCUUUAUCUCUUUUCUUUUUUUCAGAAACCCAUUAUAUAAGGGUUUUAAGCUAACUUAUUGGUAAGAUCUCUUGAACUCAUCUCACAAAUAUAUAGAAUCCCAUCUUUCAUAAACCUAAUCUUCGGUAACUAUUCUCUCUGUUUUUAUGAAUUUGGGGUUUGAGUUUGAUUACCGCAUAUCUUCACAUCAGUUAUUGAUUCUGAGAAGGAUGAUUCCGACCCUUUGGUUCAGGCUCAGGGAUAUGUAAUUGCAGCAGUAGUGUUCGGAUAUUGGACAGUUGCAAGACCAAGUGCUUUUAUUGCAGCAGUAGCUCACACUGGCGACGGUUGAUAAAGUCACCAUCUUCUGAACAGAUGGUCAAUUUUGAGGGAGAUGUGUUUUGGAGUCUUGAGAAAGAUAGAUCUCAUGGAACAUGGAUAAGGGUACUGACGUUGUUGAUGUAUAAUAGAAUGGGAAACCACCCUGCGACAGUAGAUAAAGUGUCCCAAACUUCAUGGGAGAUCAUGUGUCAUCUUAUAUUGGUGAAACAAUGCAAAUGGCCUGCACAUCAGAACAGUGCUGUAGGUAAGGUAUCCCACGGAUGGUUCCAUAUCUCGUAGAGUUCGCCAUCGGAGCUAGUUCAGUUGUGUAGCGAAUUUAUUAUACUCCCCUCAAGAAAGAUAUGUGCAUACCAGGUAAUUGGAAGAGAUGUUAUUUGUUUGAACUUCGAUGAUUUUGACAUGCUCAAAAGUACACUUUAUGUUGUGAACUAUCUUUUGCACUCAGCAGAAUAUCCCUUUUCUGAACUAUGUUCGAUUUAUUUAUUCUCUCCAUACUCUUUUAGUUGAUUUGAUUCUUUACAUUCAAUUUGAUUUAUUAUAGCACUGGAAAGGUCCGAAAGAAUUUUUUAAAUGAUGCAUCUAUUGGCAGCAAGCACAUGCUGUUGGAAUUUUUCUUGGAGCUAAUAUAGUCGAAAGUGUAGGCUAAGAAUGAGCAGUGCAGUUGAUAGUUAAGGCCAAUACUACACUGAAUCCGGGCUAAGAACGAUAGGUGAGUAAAUCUAUUGCUUUUUUCCAACAUAUUAAACAUAAUAAACAGGCAGUUGGACUCUCAGCAUGGCCCUUUUAUCUAGUCCAGUUAUCAAACAUUUUUAUCUCAAGAUUUGAGAGUACUGAUGACCGAGGAUUGAAUCAAUGAAAAUCAGCAGUCCGUUUUUAUGAGUUGAUGAUCAAUAUAUUGUUAAUGAUGCCUAAAAUAUCAGAGUAGUGUCAAUUGUCUUCAUAGAUGUGGGUUCAAACUAAGUCCAUAAUGUUGUAAAAUGUUGCAAGGGUAAGGGUUUUAUAUUA